GAGGAAUGCCGGCCAAGACACACCUUGACGGAGAGCGACUGUGUGUGUAGGGCUGCUAAAGAGUUACUGUCACGAAUUCAGAAGAGGUUCCAGAAGCCCCAGGAAAAGCUGGAGGCAUUGAAGGAGGCAGCCAGUGGCCUCCUUUCAAACCACAGAGAAGAACUGCAGGCAGCAGAGGAGCUCCUGAGGGAAACAGACCAAGACCCAGGAGAGCAUGGCCUGCUGCUCCUCCUUAAGGUCAACCUGAGAGAGUUCAGCCCAAGAACCCUAGUUUGGAAAAGCUGAUUCCUAUGAAAAACUGGAGAAACUAGGAGAAGGACCUUGUGCAGCAGUCUACAAAGGGAAAAGCGAGCCUGUCGCCCGCAGCCCUCAAGGAGGCAGAGGAGCAGGACGAGGCGCCGCCUUCCCCGGGUGGUGCCGCGCGCCCUCGCCUUGUCUGCGCUGCGCGCUGGACCAGUUUCGCGAAGUUGCCUCGGCCCUGCGUACCCCAGAUGUGGGACCUCAUGGAGCCAACAGCCAAGCGAGAAGAUCUGCAGGAUGAAGAACUUUGUCAGAGAGUUUCAGCAGCAUCGUGAUGGAGUUCGCGCCGGGAGGAAAUCUGAGGGAGCAAAUACUGGAAGAAGGCAGGCUGCAUGAGGAAAAGGUGCAGAAAAUAUUCAGACUGCUAGUGUCAGCCGUAGAGUGCCGCCCAUGGCCAUGGCAUCGCCCAUCGAGACCGGAAGCCCCAGAACAUCCUGCUCGAUUAGAUGCAGAGGGCGAUGUGAAGGUGGGAGACUCUGGCCUCACCACCAGGUAUGCAGCUGGCACUGUGCUGCAAGGGCGCUGUGGGACUGAGAUCUACAAUGCUCCAGAACUGGUUCUGAGGAAAGGGGACGAUGGGAGGAAGGCAGAUAUCUGGAGUCUGGGUAUACUGCUCUGUUUUAUCACCACGGGGCACCACUCCUUCUGAAGAAGCACCCUGAAAGAGAUAUCCACCCAGAAAGAGAUAUUGAGAAGAGUAUAUCCAAAGGAAGGUAUUACAUCACAGCUUACAUCUUUAAAAGACUUGAUAAUCUCUGUUUUUCAAAUGCUCAGUGUUACCCCAGAGAGGAGGCCCAACAUUGAAGACAUUCAGCAACAUCCAUGGGUCAAGAACCCUGAAGGAAACAUCCCUAGUGAGCCCUUCCCAGAUCCUGUAUUUGUAAAAGAGCUCUUUUCCUAUGGAUUUCCUCUAAAAAGAUCAUAUACUCCUUAUAUAAAAGAGAAUAAAAUGAGAUCAUGAGGCCAUUCCUAUUAGAACAGGCACAACAGGAGCUUGACCCCACCACCUCAGUCAAGGCGGGAAACCCUGGCGCUGCACCUCUACCAUCUCUGCUACCUGCUUUAACAUCUGGUCAUCACCUGAGAAGAAGAGCCAGUGAGCCCGCCCAUGACUGGCCUUUUCCACACCCAGUCUUCAGAAGAGGAUAUACCUAAUGUCCUGACAUUAUCAGGGCAGAGGAUGCCCAGAGGGGCGGUUCCCCAUGCCUCUAUGUUGUCCCCAGAAGAAGAGCCCCACUUCAAGCCAUGCCCCACUGACCAAGGCUGCAUCUGCCCCAUGUGUCUGCCACAUGUUAACAGAAGAAAUGCCCCUCCCACCUAGACCUGACCCUGACAUGGAGACAGCAUCUUCCACUCAGAACACUGGGUGCUGCUGGAGACUGAGCAGGGAAAUCAGGGCUAGCCUGUCAAGACUGUGUUGCUUCCUGGGGGCCCCAAAUACACAAACCCGGCCUGUGUUCAACACCAGAGUGGCUCCACUGAGAGAGGCAGGAGGAGAAACCCAGUAAGGGAUCCCUGAGUCCCUGAAUGGGGACCUUUCAGAUCCCUCUGGUUGGACCUGUUUGUUCCUCUUCAUUCUUUGAAUAUUGGGGUAUGUGGGGGGGGUUAUGAACUCUCCCCCCCUGAACAUUCCCACAUCAUGCUCAGUUUUCAGAGCUGCCUUCCUCUUUCAGUAAAGUGAUCCCUGCUGUUGAACUUGUGGGUCCCAGCUCUCUUCUCCAUAGAUGUGUGCAGGCAGACAGCCACUGAAACUGCAUUGAUCAGCUAGAGUUCCCUGAUGCCAAAAGCCUGCACCAGACAGGACUCCUGGACCUGCAUCAGCUGUGUCUCACCAGCGAAGACUUCCUGAUCAUCCUUUAGCUUGGAGGAUGCAGUGUUCUCUGCUUCCCUCUUCAGUUACCUUGUCUUCUCAACGGCCAUUGCCUGGCCUUAGGCCUCCUGGUGCACGUGGACCCCUGGCAGACCAUGGUCUCUGUGUGCAGGACAGGAGGCCAUCAUCGCUAGAUCAGACAUCCUCAUCUGCAUCGUCACCACCAUCUCUAAUAUGGAGAUUUGUAGAUUGCCUGAGAAGAGUUGUGAUUUCCAUGCUACUGACUGAGCUGCAGACCUGACUGUAGUCCUGCUACCCGGAAACAGAAUGUUAAUGCACUUCCACCUUAGUUUACCUUGGGGGAUAAAAGGAGUUUGGAUAAUAAACAUGGGUGAUCUUCAGGAUUUGAAUGAAGCCUGAGACUCCCUUCCGAUAUCGCUGUGUGAACUGUGUCUCAAUUAUUCCCACGCCUCCACGCUGGUCCAGAGAAGGAAAAGUGGUUUAUGUUGGGACAUGGGGCCCCCGAUAGGAUCCGUGCUCUUUACUCGUGCUUCAGUCAGCGUGCUGGAGACAAGUUCCCUCAGUGGAAUGGCGGUGAGAGCAGCUAGAAGAGGCUCAUUGAAACUGCUUCUCCUUGGAAGGUCACUAUUGGAGGAUGCUCAGGGCCUCUGAAAGCUCCUCCUUGCUGUCACCUGACACGUGCCAUCCCUCAGUUCCUUGUCAGAACUCCUUAGGCCAUGUACUCUGGGUGCCACAGAGCGCCAGUUGGGAGCCAAACUAAUGAGAUGAUCAUG